rnacentral:rRNA from 1 species
GACGAACGCUGGCGGCGCGCCUAACACAUGCAAGUCGAACGAGCGAGAGAGAGCCUGCUUUCUUGAGCGAGUGGCGAACGGGUGAGUAACGCGUGAGGAACCUGCCUCAAAGAGGGGGACAACAGUUGGAAACGACUGCUAAUACCGCAUAAGCCCACGGUGCCGCAUGGCACAGAGGGAAAAGGAGCAAUCCGCUUUGAGAUGGCCUCGCGUCCGAUUAGCUAGUUGGUGAGGUAACGGCCCACCAAGGCGACGAUCGGUAGCCGGACUGAGAGGUUGAACGGCCACAUUGGGACUGAGACACGGCCCAGACUCCUACGGGAGGCAGCAGUGGGGAAUAUUGCACAAUGGGGGAAACCCUGAAGCAGCGACGCCGCGUGGAGGAAGAAGGUCUUCGGAUUGUAAACUCCUGUUGUUGGGGAAGAUAAUGACGGUACCCAACAAGGAAGUGACGGCUAACUACGUG